CCUACGGGUGGCAGCAGUGGGGAAUAUUGCACAAUGGGGGAAAGCCUGAUGCAGCGACGCCGCGUGAGUGAAGAAGUACUUCGUUAUGUAAAGCUCUAUCAGCAGGGAGGAAGGUGACGGUACCUGAGUACGAAUCGCCGGCUAACUACGUGCCAGCAGCCGCGGUAAUACGUAGGGGGCAAGCGUUCUCCGGAUUUACUGGGUGUAACGGGAGCGUAGACGGUAGUGCAAGUCGGGUGUGAAAGGCGGGGACUCAACCCGCGGACUGCUCUGGAAACUGGACGGCUGGAGUGCAGGAGAGGGAAGUGGAAUUCCAAGUGUAGCGGUGAAAUGCGUAGAUAUCUCGAAGAACCCCGAUGGCGAAGGCAGCUUACUAAACUGUGACUGACAUUGAUGUUCGAAAGUGUGGGUAUCAAACAGGAUUAGAUACCCUGGUAGUC
rnacentral:rRNA from 1 species